ACCGCGCGCUCUGAGCGCAGAGCUCCUCCCGGUCUAUCCUGCCCGCGGUGACCAAACUGCCGCUUCGCGGGUUCAGAGCAAAGAGCUGCGUCCUACCUCUGGAGACGAUGCGGACUCCCCGCUCCGCCAGCUCGCGGAGCUCCAGCCCCAGGUCCUUGGAGAUAUUCCCCACGAUAUAGCCUUCUUCUGUCUCUUCAGUGCAUGCACAGCCUAUGGCAUCUGGAAGAUUCAGAUGAACAUACAUUGAAAAGUUGGGAAUGACAGCACGUUAUGGAGGCAACAACAUUUCCUUUUCUUUUACCGAGUAUCUCCUUCUGUUAACUAUAAAGAAGAAGAGAAUUUCGUAUUCAAGAAAACUUGAAGGAACUUAGAUAAUGACUUCGACUUUCUGAUGAAUUCACUGAGUCGUUCUCUACACACACACACACAACACACAGUAAUUUUUCUUAAAAUUUUAAGGACUUCAAAGACUCAUAAAAAGGUAGACUUAAGGAACUAGACAUGAGGAAUAAAUAUAAGAAAGAGAUGGAAACUGUACCAAUGAAAUCAGUGA